CUCCCACGGUACCAGUUACUGGAGGAAAGAAGAAACAUUGAAUCAAAGAGGAUACUACAGAAAACUGCUGUCGUAAACUGUGCUGCACAUGUUUAUUGACUGGGGCAGCCACCGAGGAUGGAAAGUUGGAAACACAUCAUAGGCUGGAGAAGGCUUGUGGCCUGUAUCAUCCCAAGGUGGUAGGGCAGGAUGCUUCUAAAAUGUGGGUGAGAGGACCUGUUUCCAGCGGAGGUCAGGGAACUUUUACGGCCUGUUCAAGGGAAGGAUCACAAGUUUACUUUGAGCAAGAAGUAUUCAAAAUCGCUACUGAAAAUGCAUGCGCUGCAAGACCCACAGAGCCCUGAAUAUGAAGUGAGAAGCAAUAGAAUUCACGUUCGAAUAUGAAAGAAUGCAAGCAAACACCUCCACGCUGAUCUCUAAAAGAAUCUAAAAGAAUCGACACACGUCUACACUUCGCACAACCGCUGAGUUCAGACAGUGGCUUAGACUGAGGACUCAUGAGAAUGUUAACAUUUACUUCUGUAUUAGAAAGAUGAAUAAGGCACACU
rnacentral:lncRNA from 1 species